rnacentral:rRNA from 1 species
UACGUAGGGUGCGAGCGUUAAUCGGAAUUACUGGGCGUAAAGCGUGCGCAGGCGGUUCGUUGUGUCGGCGGUGAAAGCCCCGGGCUUAACCUGGGAAUGGCCGUUGAAACUGGCGAACUGGAGUGUGGCAGAGGGGGGUAGAAUUCCACGUGUAGCAGUGAAAUGCGUAGAUAUGUGGAGGAAUACCGAUGGCGAAGGCAGCCCCCUGGGAUAACACUGACGCUCAUGCACGAAAGCGUGGGGAGCAAACAGG